CCUUCCGUAGGUGAACCUGCGGAAGNAUCAUUG
rnacentral:rRNA from 1 species